AAUACUGCCAUCAAGAGGAACCCACAGGUGAAAGCCCCCAAGGACUUUUCCUCAGGCGCCCUUGAGCAGGCCCCGGAUUCAGCUGGAUCUCAGCUUCUUCUCUUGGGGCUCUACCUGGAAUUGUGGAUAAACAUGGGGUCGAGCUGUAGCAGCUGGCCAAUCGGGAAGCACCACUACGUCUGUAGCUCCCAGGAAGUCUGGGCACAGGAAGUCAUGGGGUGGAGUCUUGACAUCCUCCCAUGGUGGGCGGGACUAGAGGAAAUCCACCAACUGACAAAGCACAGAGCCUAUAGCUAUUUGUCUUGCUCCCUGCCCCUCAGAAUCUGUGGGAGGCUCCAUGUGGUUUUCCCAGGCUUUAGGGCCUGGGCUUUCUUUGAUUUGUAGGACUGGAUUGCAGAGCACAAGACUAGGUGGUUUGUAGGAGGACUCCAUGGGCAGUGCUGGGGGCGGGGGCCGGGUGGGGGGCGCGUCACAGGUGCAUUCAGGCCGCUUGGCGCUGGGAGGGACUGGAAAAGAAGUGGAAGCACCCAGCCAGGCUAAGAAGUCGUAGCUGUAAUGCUAGGACAGCAGACCGCACACAGAUGGGGACCAAAAACAAGAGGAGGGGACGGAAGCUGAACGUUGUCUGCUGGAAGUGAGAACACGUGGCUGCAUUAGCAGCUUUUCUGUGGUGAAGGGCCCUUGUAGACCGACAAGAAAGCCUCCUUUGAGAAGUUGAAUACAUCAAAACCCUGGAACACUUACAGCAUGAAUGAGAAAUAGGGACUGCUGGGCAUGUCGUCAGAUCAUUCACCAUGAUUAUCUGGAGUCCAGCAGAGUGGCGCUAAGAGGCAAGUAUUCGGGCCAUCUUGGGUGUGCUGUGCUUCUUGAAGGGGUGAUCUGGCCAGGACUUGAAGCAUUUGCUGUCAGUAUUACAAGCAGUCACAGACAAUGGCAGCUGCUAAUACGAAUGA